CUCCCUCCCGAUGCUUUCACAGGAGCUCUGAAGCAGCUGGCAAGGCGAGGCAUGCCAGCUACAGCUCUGCUGCUGGGGGCCCUUCAGGGGGGCUGCAAAGGCAACCAACCUCAAGCUCUGACCCUCUGCAGGGUUCCCUGUGGUCUGCUGGGAAACUCCUAAGGUUUCUAAGCUCACAGAGAGCAGGCUUCCAGACUUUCCCUGGCAGUCAUGAAGGAUGAAAACAUUGUUUGGAAGGCUGCACUUUUCGCAUAAUCAUAUGCUUCUUGGGAUCAGUGCUCUGCGAGAUACAAUACAUUUUGUAUAACAAUUAAAAUCAUUGGCAAAACAGUUUU